GACGAACGCUGGCGGCGUGCUUAACACAUGCAAGUCGAACGGAAAGGCCCCGUUUGGGGGACUCGAGUGGCGUACGGGGGAGUAACACGUGCGUAACCUGCGCUUGACUUCGGGAUAACGUCAGGAAAAUGGGGCUAAUACCGGGGAGGAAUGCUUGCUGGAUGGUGGGUGUGGGAAAGCUUGGUUGGCUUUUGAUGGACUCGGGGCCUAAUAGCUUCGUGGUGGGGUAGUGGGUUAGCGAGGCUGAGGCGGGAAGCCGGGCUGAGGAGGCGACCGGCCACAGUGGGACUGGGACACGGCCCAGACUCCGACUGGAGGGAGCAGCGGGGAAUAUUGAACAAGGGGCGGAAGCCAGAUGCUGCAACGCCGCGUGCGGGAUGACGGUCUUCGGGUUGGAAACCGCAUUCAGCAGGGGCGAAGCUUGUGGUGACGGUACCUGCAGAAGAAGCACCGGCUAACUACGUG
rnacentral:rRNA from 1 species